GGGGAGCGGACAGAAGGGACGGUCCGGUUUGAUCCGCUAUCGGGCGCGCCUAUCAGCAAUAUACUUUGAAACGAGUGGAUAGUGUGGAUAGUGUGGACAGUUACGCUCGAUAUACUUACCGGGACCGUGUACAAUAAUGAUACAAGUCCUAUGCAAUACGCGAUCACGUUUGUUGUUUAUUUGUUUAACGUACACAAAAUAGACACGAGACGAAAUAUCGCGACGGGUACAGUUGUCAGGGAUUUAACAUCCGCUCUAAGCUACGGCGUGUAUUGCAAGAGAUGACGAGUUCUCGGAAACAAAACGAACAAUAAAUCGAUUACGAACUAAAAACAGUAACUUAACCUAACGUUGCAAGACGGAGACGAGACUAUGGAAUCGCGUUUAGGA